rnacentral:rRNA from 1 species
GACGAACGCUGGCGGCGUGCCUAAUACAUGCAAGUAGAACGCUGAAGAGAGGAGCUUGCUCUUCUUGGAUGAGUUGCGCACGGGUGAGUAACGCGUAGGUAACCUGCCUGGUAGCGGGGGAUAACUGGGGGAAACGGUAGCUAAUACCGCAUAAAAUGGAUUAUCGCAUGAUAAUCCAUUGAAAGGUGCAAAUGCAUCACUACCAGAUGGACCUGCGUUGUAUUAGCGAGUUGGUGGGGUAACGGCGCACCAAGGCGACGAUACAUAGCGGCCCGGAGAGGGUGGUCGGCCACACUGGGACGGAGACACGGCCCAGACUCCUACGGGAGGCAGCCGUAGGGAAUCUUCGGCAAUGGAUGGAAGUCUGACCGAGCAACGCCGCGGGAGUGUAGAAGGUUGUCGGAUCGUAAAGCUCUGUUGUAAGAGAAGAACGAGUGUGAGACUGGAAAGUUCACACUGUGACGGUAUCUUACCAGAAAGGGACGGCUAACUACGUG